rnacentral:lncRNA from 1 species
GAUCCUGAAGCCUGCCUGCGGCACUGCACGCUCCUUCUCCAGAAUGACCAGGACAACGAAGCUGCUGCCAUGAUGAUGGCUGAUCUCAUGUUCAGAAAGCAGGACUAUGAACAAGCAGUGUUUCAUUUACAACAGCUUUUAGAACGCAAACCAGGUAACUGUUCUGAUUAUAUUUAUUCUAAUGUAAUCAAGUGUCUUUCUCCUCUUUUUGGUUAUUAUACUCCUUGGAAAAGCCCUCAGCCUGGGUGGCUCCAACACUCUGCUUAUUCCACAUCUACACUUGAGCUGCUGAAAUGGCCCUAAGGAAAACGCCAUGCUAUUUACUAGUCUUACCUUAAAUUAUGACCACAAACCUCAGGCGGGUUUUCAGGAGCUUCUUGGCAAUCCUAGGUUUCUCUUAGGAACUCUCAUUCAGGCUACUUUUUACACUUUCUCCUCUCUCAUUAAACCUCCAUCACCCUUUCUUCUUUCCUUAUUCUCCACUAAAAACCUUGCCUCUUACUUUACUGAGAUAGUAUAAGCAACCUCCUCUCUAGUC